GCGGCGGCCUCUGCCCCGCUCCCUCCUGGCUCAGAACCACUUGGCCUGGGACCCAGAGGCGCAGCCUUGCUGUCGGGAAGGGUCUCAGCACUCAGUCUUCGUUUCACAAGAGGAGACAGUGUGGCCCGGGGAACACUCUGAAAGGCAGGGCCGCCUUCCUCGCAAGAGCAAAUUCCCGAGCACGCGGGUUACGCGGCAGGACUGCUCUCGGCCAACUUUCCACCGUCAGGUUUGAGAUGCUCUUCCAAAGCCGUGUGCUCCUUGGGACCCAUUAAACAGGCUUUCUUUGAUAAUGUUCAAUUCGACUUAUCCAAUUUAAAUAUUUGCUCUGAUCAGCGACCAUCGGAUCCCAGCUUCAUUUCAGGCUGCAGAAUAAUUUCUCUGGAUUCUCCCCCGCUGCCCGGUGGGCCCAGGGCAGCACGGCUCUUCCCAGCUCCCGAGCUCCGGGCUGUCCGGUGCACCGUGCAGCGGAGGAAUAGCACCAUAAACCCGACCUGAAGGCUGCUUUUACAAUGUUUACCGGGCCUGCCCUCACUUCUGUCUGACGAAGACAGGGAUUAUUUAAAGGGUUCCUCCUCGCCAGAUAAUUAUAAGGAGAGAUUAGUUUUUUAAAGGUAGAGCUUCAGAAUGUAAAGAAAUUGCCAAGGAGAUGAUGUUUGCUGAGCGAGAUUCUGCACUAGCCGCUUCCCCUGAUUUGGGAGAUUUUUAUAACCAGUAUCGACACCAAAUGGAUGGCCAUUCCUUAGGAGUCAAGCUGCCAGGGCAGGAGCAGAGGAAGAAGGAUCACUUCGGCAUUUUAAGUCAAUGUGUUUUUAAAGGAGCGAAUGCCGCUUCCAUUCCCACUAUCUGUGGGGCUCCAUGUAGCCCCUUUGGGUACCAUUUUUACUAUUAUUUUGACUUUACUGACACAGUAUUAGAGACAAUCCCUUUGGAUUUUGUUUUCGUGUGCUGCCUUUACGAACCCGAGCCCUGGGCUGUCCCCUCUGGAGGGAUCAUAAAGUCAUUCAUAACAGUGUCAACACCGGCCACUCCACUCCCGGGUGCAGCCCUGGGGAGACACCGAGGGGCGGUGGGAGGAACUCUGUCCCUUAUCUGAGCAACCCUAGGAAGGGGAGGGGGCUCUUCUGCAGUGAAAGGAACAUUUAUGAGCGCAGGGCCAGCGCCUGCCUUAUGGAGCCCGAGGGUGGGGGAUGCCACCCGCCUGCAGCCCGGAGUGUUUACCACCGGGUGAUUUACAGCGCCCAGGUGUUCCUGGGGAGACAUCCUGGCUCUGGGCGGACACGGAGAUGGCAUGGAUUGGUAGAUUUCGGCAUUUUUCUAUUUAUUAAUGAUCUGGGGCUCAAAAAGAUUUUUUUUUUUUAAUGGUCCAAAGCAGGUUCCUGCCUGUGGUCCUCCCUUAGGCGGACUGACGCCCCGGCAACCACCCCUGCCAAGCCCCCUGCACCGGCCCUGGGGACUCUCUACUCCUGAAAUCGCCCCUGCUCCCCUCCAGCUGGUUUCUGGGGUCCACUCCUGCCCUUCGGCCUCAGGGAGGCUGCAUGGCCACAGAGCCAGCCUCUGCUCUGCUGCCGCCGGCUUUGCCCCGUCCAGAGAGCUCUGCCGGGGCUCCCGCCCUGGAGGCCACUGUCUGUCACUCUGCUCUGCUAAUGUUUUGGUCCCUGACACCUGAGCAGGGGGGGAGGUGGCCCUCACAGUCCCACCCCCAACUUAAAGCAAGCCCCAGGAAAUAAAAUGGUUUAUUUGAAAAAAAAAAAAAAAAAAAAACCCGUAUUUCAAAAACU